ensembl:lncRNA
AUGCUGGCUCUUUCUCCCGGCCUCUUCUGGCCUGAAGAUGUGAGAAAAGUCGGGAGCCUUCCAGCAGACCCAAGGAAAGGCUCAGUCUUGAACGACCGACGCCAGCAGAGCACACGGGACACAGAACUGCUGUGGACGGAGGCGGAGGACGGAGGCGGAGGACGCAGGCGGAGGACGGAGGCGGUGGACCGAGGCUGUGGACGGAGGCGGAGGACAGAGGCGGAGGACGCAGGCGGAGGACGGAGGCGGUGGACCGAGGCUGUGGACGGAGGCGGAGGACAGAGGCGUGGACGGAGGCGUGGACGGAGGCGGAGGACGGAGGCGGUGGAUGGAGGCGGAGGACGGAGGCGGUGGACGGAGGCGGAGGACGGAGGCGGACGGAGGCGGAGGACGGAGGCGGAGGACGGAGGCGGUGGACGGAGGCGGUGGUCGGAGGCGUGGACGGAGGCGGUGGACGGAGGCGGAGGACGGAGGCGUGGACGGAGGCGUGGACGGAGGCGGAGGACGGAGGCAGUGGACGGAGGACGGAGGCGGAGGCGUGGGCGGAGGCGGAGGACGGAGGCGUGGACGGAGGCGGAGGACGGAGGCGUGGACGGAGGCGGAGGACGGAGGCGGAGGACGGAGGCGGUGGACGGAGGACGGAGGCGGUGGACGGAGGCGGUGGACCGAGGCGGAGAACGGAGGCGUGGACCGAGGCGGAGGACGGAGGCGGAGGACGGAGGCGGAGGACGGAGGCGGUGGACGGAGGACGGAGGCGGUGGACGGAGGACGGAGGCGGAGGACGGAGGCGGAGGACGGAGGCGGUGGACCGAGGCGGAGGACGGAGGCGUGGACGGAGGCGUGGGCGGAGGCGGAGGACCGAGGCGGAGGACAGAGGCGUGGACGGAGGCGGAGGACGGAGGCAGUGGACCGAGGCGGUGGACCGAGGCGGAGGACGGAGGCGUGGACGGAGGCGUGGGCGGAGGCGGAGGACGGAGGCGUGGACGGAGGCGGAGGACGGAGGCGGUGGACCGAGGCGGAGGACGGAGGCGUGGACGGAGGCGUGGGCGGAGGCGGAGGACGGAGGCGUGGACGGAGGACGGAGGCGGAGGACGGAGGCGGAGGACGGAGGCGGAGGAGGACGGAGGCGGAGGACGGAGGCGGAGGACGGAGGCGGAGGACGGAGGCGGUGGACGGAGGACGGAGGCGGUGGACGGAGGACGGAGGCGGUGGACGGAGGCGGUGGACGAAGGCGGAGGACGGAGGCGUGGACGGAGGCGGAGGACGGAGGCGGUGGACCGAGGCGGAGGACGGAGGCGUGCACGGAGGCGGAGGACGGAGGCUGUGCAUUGAGGCGGGGCGGGAGCCAGGUUGUCCUGUCGCUUUGUGUGCGGUAGUGACGGUGGCCUCUGCCACCAGACUGCGCCCUCCAGGGUGGCUGGUGCAAACCAGGGUGGGCUCCAGGUGCAGAGUCCAUGCCUCGGCGCCAAGAAGCGAACUGGCUCAGUGGCAGCCUUACUUGUUGAAAUGAAAAUACAUUGGACAUACUGGGUUAAAUAAAAUACACUAUUCAAAUUUAUUUCACAGUUCCUUUUAAUGUAGCUGCCAGGAAAUUUAAAAUCUCACCUUUGGCUGGCAUUACGUUUCCUUUGGACAGUGCUGGUCUAGCAGUUGAGCACAUUGUCGGGGGGUCAAGGGCCCCCCUCAGUAUCCCCUGAUGACCAGCCUACCACGCAGACCUCACAGGGGCCCUUGGGCAGCCGUCUCAGGUGGUCCGUGGCCAGGAGCCUGUGCCCCUCUCUCUGCUCGGGGCAUCAGGUGUGACCCGUGGGUUUUUGUAGGGCAGGCCAGUUGCUCUGCUCCAGCCCUGACCACACCCUCAGUCCUGGAUGCUGCGGCUGAGGGCGUGGGAGGUGGCCUGCCCGGCUCGGCCUGGGAGAAGGGGCGACCUCUGUGAGACGGGGCUGGCUGGGUGGUCCAGGCAGAAAGCGUAUCAGGGCCUCAGAGGUGGGAAGAGUUGCAGGGAGGGGUUCCAGAGAGGGAUGGGGCUGAGGCGGACUGAGCGAUUGGAGAGGAAGGGGUGGCAGCCGGUUCCUCGGGGAGGAGGUGGGUCCAGAGGCGGUGGCUGCGCCUGUCAGUUUGUUCUGUGGCACCUGGGUGUCGGGCAGCUGUCGGGGUGCCUGCAGGUUGGUUACUGGUGUGUGGCCUGGCCAAAGGUGAGACGUGGGAGACAUCUCCUUGAGGCGAAGGCCAGCACCAUUAGAACCCUGCCAGAGCCCUGGAGGGCCUCGAGGAGAAUG